AUUGAACGCUGGCGGCAUGCCUAACACAUGCAAGUCGAACGAGUGGCGGACGGGUUAGUAAUGUCCGUGAAACUGCCCGAUGGAUGGCUAUAACUACGGGAAACGGUAGCUAAUACCGCAUACCAUCGGAUGUCCCCAGAUGGGAUUAGCUAGUAGGUGGGGCAACGGCUCACCAAGGCGACGAUCCGUAGCUGGUCUGAGAGGAUGACCAGCCACACUGGAACUGAGACACGGUCCAGACUCCUACGGGAGGCAGCAGUGGGGAAUAUUGCACAAUGGGGGAAAGCCUGAUGCAGCCAUGCCGCGUGUGUGAAGAAGGCCUUCGGGUUGUAAAGUACUUUCAGCGGGGAGGCGUUACCCGCAGAAUAAGCACCGGCUAACUCCGUGCCAGCAGCCGCGGUAAUAC
rnacentral:rRNA from 1 species